rnacentral:rRNA from 1 species
GAUGAACGCUGGCGGCGUGCCUAAUACAUGCAAGUCGAGCGAACAGACGAGGAGCUUGCUCCUCUGACGUUAGCGGCGGACGGGUGAGUAACACGUGGAUAACCUACCUAUAAGACUGGGAUAACUUCGGGAAACCGGAGCUAAUACCGGAUAAUAUAUUGAACCGCAUGGUUCAAUAGUGAAAGACGGUUUUGCUGUCACUUAUAGAUGGAUCCGCGCCGCAUUAGCUAGUUGGUAAGGUAACGGGUUACCAAGGCAACGAUGCGUAGCCGACCUGAGAGGGUGCUCGGCCACACUGGAACUGAGGCACGGUCCAGCCUCCUACGGGAGGCAGCAGUAGGGAACCUUCCGCAAUGGGCGAAAGCCUGACGGAGCCACGCCGCGUGAGUGAUGAAGGUCUUCGGAUCGUAAAACUCUGUUAUUAGGGAAGAACAAAUGUGUAAGUAACUAUGCACGUCUUGACGGUACCUAAUCAGAAAGCCCCGGCUAACUACGUG